rnacentral:pre_miRNA from 1 species
CAUAUACUCCCUCCAUUUCGAAUUAUUUGUUGAAGGUAUGGAUGUAUCUAGAUGUAUUUUAGUUUUAGAUACAUCCAUUUAUGCGACAAUUAAUUUAGAACGGAGGAAGUAGUAA